rnacentral:rRNA from 1 species
AGUGAACGCUGGCGGUAGGCCUAACACAUGCAAGUCGAACGGCAGCACAGUAAGAGCUUGCUCUUACGGGUGGCGAGUGGCGGACGGGUGAGGAAUACAUCGGAAUCUACUUUUUCGUGGGGGAUAACGUAGGGAAACUUACGCUAAUACCGCAUACGACCUACGGGUGAAAGCAGGGGAUCUUCGGACCUUGCGCGAUUGAAUGAGCCGAUGUCGGAUUAGCUAGUUGGCGGGGUAAAGGCCCACCAAGGCGACGAUCCGUAGCUGGUCUGAGAGGAUGAUCAGCCACACUGGAACGGGGACACGGGCCAGACUCCUACGGGAGGCCGCAGUGGGGAAUAUUGGACAAAGGGCGCAAGCCUGAUCCAGCCAUACCGCGUGGGUGAAGAAGGCCUUCGGGUUGUAAAGCCCUUUUGUUGGGAAAGAAAAGCAGCAGGUUAAUACCCCGCUGUUCUGACGGUACCCAAAGAAUAAGCACCGGCUAACUUCGUG